rnacentral:rRNA from 1 species
AAACACAAUGCAAAGUCGAACGAUGAAAGCCUAGCUUGCUGGGGUGGGAUAGUGGCGAAACGGGGUGAGUAACACGUGAGUAACCCUGCCCCCUUGACUCUGGGAUAAGCCCUGGGAAACUGGGGUCUAAUACCGGAUACGACCAUUGCCCGCAUGGGUUGGUGGUGGAAAGCUUUUGUGGUUUUGGAUGGACUCGCGGCCUAUCAGCUUGUUGGUGAGGUAAUGGCUCACCAAGGCGACGACGGGUAGCCGGCCUGAGAGGGUGACCGGCCACACUGGGACUGAGACACGGCCCAGACUCCUACGGGAGGCAGCAGUGGGGAAUAUUGCACAAUGGGCGAAAGCCUGAUGCAGCGACGCCGCGUGAGGGAUGACGGCCUUCGGGUUGUAAACCUCUUUCAGUAGGGAAGAAGCGAAAGUGACGGUACCUGCAGAAGAAGCGCCGGCUAACUACGUGC